AACGAACGCUGGCGGCAUGCCUACACAUGCAAGUCAAACGAGACCUUCGGGUCUAGUGGCGCACGGGUGCGUAACGCGUGGGAACCUGCCCUUAGGUUCGGAAUAACUCCCCGAAAGGGGUGCUAAUACCGGAUAAUGUCUUCGGACCAAAGAUUUAUCGCCUUUGGAUGGGCCCGCGUUGGAUUAGCUAGUUGGUAGGGUAAAAGCCUACCAAGGCGACGAUCCAUAGCUGUCUGAGAGGAUGAUCAGCCACACUGGGACUGAGACACGGCCCAGACUCCUACGGGAAGCAGCAGUGGGGAAUAUUGGACAGUGGGCGAAAGCCUGAUCCAGCAAUGCCGCGUGAGUGAUGAAGGCCUUAGGGUUGUAAAGCUCUUUUACCCGGGAUGAUAAUGACAGUACCGGGAGAAUAAGCUCCGGCUAACUCCGUG
rnacentral:rRNA from 1 species